CCACACGACCACCUCAGUUGAGAGCUACUGCCCCAGGAGUGUGUGAAGCCUGCAGGAGCCUAAGCUACCAGAUGGAGAAGGUGUAGCAGGAGUGCACUGGCCUGCCCCGGUCGGGGCAGGGUGCUCUCUGCCGGCAAGCCCAGCAACGGCUUCUUCUUUGGGAGCUGAUUCAGUGGGGCUAUCUGUCACAGUCACCAACCCUGCCCUGCCAUGAGGGGCAUGUGAGUCAAGCAAAGAGCAGUCACUGCACCCUAUUGCCCAGUCACUGGGUUGAUGAAUGAGAGACCCUGAUGAAGAUCUAUUGAGUUCCUGGAUCCAGCCUGACCUGAAGGUAGAACCCAACAGGUGAAGAGGCUGUGGUACAGAGAGGUGAAGUAUCUUGCUCAAGGUCACACAGUGAAAGAGGCGAGCCUGGAGCCCAGUCCAGGUCAUCUGACCCCAGAGCCUGUGCAGAGGACUGUGCCAUACACCGUCACGGGCCAGGGAAGGACAAGCAGAGAGCCGAGUACGGGAAAGAGGGAAGAAGGGCAGAGACCCAAGUCUGGAAUCUACACCGCCUGAAGCAAAGCAAACCGCAGCACCGGAUGGUCCAGUGGAGAUAGCACAGCUGAUUCUGCUGGGCUCAGACAUGGCAGCCUCUGGUCCUGCUGCUUUGGGACACCGGUGUCCAUGACACUGCCUUUGCCAGGUAGAUGCCCUCUGACCUCUGCUUCUCCGGUCUCCAGCUUCUGAACACAAGGCUGGUGCUGGUGCAGCUGCCUUACGGGGCAGACGGGGACUGUCUGUACCCUAGUUGCUAGGGAGCCUGGGAAAGCAAGAC